rnacentral:rRNA from 1 species
AUUGAACGCUGGCGGCAUGCUUUACACAUGCAAGUCGAACGGUAACAGGCCGCAAGGUGCUGACGAGUGGCGAACGGGUGAGUAAUGCAUCGGAACGUGCCCAGUCGUGGGGGAUAACUACUCGAAAGAGUAGCUAAUACCGCAUACGAUCUAUGGAUGAAAGCGGGGGACCGUAAGGCCUCGCGCGAUUGGAGCGGCCGAUGUCAGAUUAGGUAGUUGGUGGGGUAAAGGCUCACCAAGCCAAUGAUCUGUAGCUGGUCUGAGAGGACGACCAGCCACACUGGGACUGAGACACGGCCCAGACUCCUACGGGAGGCAGCAGUGGGGAAUUUUGGACAAUGGGCGCAAGCCUGAUCCAGCAAUGCCGCGUGCAGGAAGAAGGCCUUCGGGUUGUAAACUGCUUUUGUACGGAACGAAACGGCUCUGGUUAAUACCCGGGGCUAAUGACGGUACCGUAAGAAUAAGCACCGGCUAACUACGUG